rnacentral:rRNA from 1 species
UACGGAGGGGGCGAGCGUUGUUCGGAUUUACUGGGCGUAAAGGGCGCGUAGGCGGAGGACCAAGUCAGAGGUGAAAGGCCCGGGCUUAACCUGGGAAUUGCCUUUGAAACUGGGUCUCUAGAGACCGGAAGAGGUAAGCGGAAUUCCCAGUGUAGAGGUGAAAUUCGUAGAUAUUGGGAAGAACACCAGUGGCGAAGGCG